AUGCCUGAGCAGGGGGGCUGGAGGGUGACAGCAACCUCUGGAAGGACCCCUAGGGUGGGGGUCCAUGGCACACAGGGACUGGGGGAACUCCGAGAUGGGGAGAUAACUUCUCUGACAUCUGCCUGCCAUACUGCACACUGGCACCGAGCCUCCUCUUGGUUUGGGGACACCUGUCCAUUCCCCACAAGCCAGUGUAGACUGCAGAGCCCGGAUGGUGGGGGGUCGGGAAGGCCAAGGCAGGGAUGGCACCUGCUCAGACCACUGGGCUUCUGCCCGCCGCCCCGGACCCGGCUCAGCUUUCUCCUUCCCUUCCUCCCUCUCCCCGGCGGAGCUCCCAGUGGGCCUUCAGCUGCUGGGCUACAGGGAGACUCCGACGCCCUGAGGGUCAGGCUUUGCCCAAGGUUGCAGAGCAGUUGGGUGUGCAUCCCAGGCGGUAAUGGAUGUGCCCCCACCCCAGGUCUGCACUUGUCCCACCUCUUGGAUUCUUCUAAACAUAGACUCACUCCUCCCAGGCCCCACGGGGGAGGCAGCUCAUCGGAGGACCCGCCUCCAAGAGAAGGGGGAGCGCCAGCGGCCAGCAGCCCCAGGCUGGGUCAGCCCCAGAGUAAGAGGGGUGGAGCCAGUCGGCCUGGAGCUCAGGGCUGCCCACCGGCUCUGGAGCGAGCCUGUCCCUCAUCCUGGCCCCAGCCCAUGACAGCCUUGUGGGCAGGUGUCCUCCCGGAGAUGCCAGGGGAUGAGGGGGUUCUGGGACCCUCAGGUCUUAGGUGGAGGCAGGGGUGGGCUCCAGGGCUCUCCCCGCUGCAGCCCACUCUCCCAGAGGCACGCCCCCUGCCCUUGGUCCAGACUGACCCUGUGCCUCUAGGGCCCGGGCGCCACCUGCUGGCCACGUGCCCACCUCGCGCACUCUCCUUCCCUUUCUGCGUCUCUGCUGGAACCAGGCCCAGGACCCAGGAGUGUGACUUCUCAGGUGAGGGGUGGGUCUGCCACACAAGGAGGGCUCACCUCGGGUCCUGGGGCAGGGACUCAGGCUUGGGUUCAACCUGGUCAUUUUCCCUUCUCUGCCCCAGUUUUCUCUUCUGGACAAUGGGAGCGCCAAGCCAUGGUGUCUUCACUACCACCCACCACCCGACCAGGGUGAAAUCUGAAGAGAAGGCCUGCAGGAGACCUAAGAGACAGGAAAGGUGUGUCUCCGGCAGUAGCGGGUCGUGCUGGCCCCUCUUUUUUUUGGGCAGAUGGGAAGGGACCUGGGGCCAUGACACAGGCUCCACAGAGGACAGACUCAAGAGACCGGACGUAACUUCCCGCGCCAGCCCACAGCCGGGAGGAGAGAAGGCAGGCCUGAGCCCGUGGACAGUCAGUGGAGCCAGUCCUGGAAGGAGCUCCCAGUCCACUCAGGACCUCAGAGCAUGA
rnacentral:lncRNA from 1 species